rnacentral:sRNA from 1 species
GCUGGGUGUGGUGGCUCACACCUGUAAUCCCAGUGACUCAAGAGGCUGGAGGCAAGAGGAUCACAAGUUCAAAGCCAGCCUCAGAAACUGAGUAAGACCUUGUCUCUA